UCUUUUCUCUUCUUUCUUCUCGUUUCUUCGUUCUUCUUUUGCUCUCUAUUGUUCUUCUUCUGUAGAAUUCGAGUGAUGAUUUAGAGAAUACGUUUGAUAGUUCUUGGUUGAUGAAUUUAAUCUGAUGGUGAAGGAAGUGUUGUCGAUGUGAUUUAAGAAUGAUAAGAUUUAGUAUUGCUGGGGUUUUGAGACGAAUCAUCAAGAAGUGGAGUUAGGGUUUCUGUGAGUUGAUGAAGGUUUGAUUUGAGGUUACUAGAGAUGGGUUUAGUUGAUUGAAUUAAGGGUUUCCGUUCAAUUGAUAAUCUGAAGUGGUUUUGAUGUAAACUGAAGAGUUAGGGUUUCUCUGAAAAUCAAUGAGGGUGAAGAUGUUUAUGAGACUCGGAUCGAGAUAGAAGAAGAGUAGAGUUAGUUUUAGUUGGUGGUGGUGGUGUUGAUUCAAGCGACUGAUACAGAACCUGCAGAAAAGGUAAUUUGAGAAUUAAAAUUAGGGUUCUUUAAUUUGAAUCUGUUUUAUAUAAAUUGAUAAGAGAUGAUGAAUCCUAGAUGGGUUUUAUGCUAAUUGAAAAUUCGUAUUGAAUUUAUAAGUGGAAUUAAGUUCUGGUGAAGGUUUGAGAAAACUAGGUUUCCCUGUUCUUCCCCAAAUUAGAAUUAGGAUUCUUGUGUUGAGAAUUGCAGAUGAAGUAAAUAAUGGUGAUUGGUUUUAAUAGAGGUUGUAGAUGUUUAUUAAUGAUUUGUUGUUGAGUUGGAGAUCAUCAGGUGCAGGGGUUGCUUGAAGUGCAGUUGUAGCUAGUUGAAUGGAGAAAAAAUAUGAGACUCUGGGAUUGGUAACAUCACCGAGGUUGUGAAAAUUGGAUGAUUAUAUUUAAAGUAUAAGAGUAGGAACUAGUUCUAGAGAUCUAAGGUUCAAGGAUAAGCCAUGGUGGUGAUGUUGAACUGAGUAAGAUGGAAAUUGGUUUGUUACAUAACUUAGGAUGAGAAAGAAUUGGAGUUGCAGGUUUGAUUGAGAUGGAAGUGUUGAGGAAUGUUAUGUUGUUGCAGAUGAAGUUGAGACCUAUAGUGGAGAUUCUGAAGUUGUUGGUGAUGUUUGGGGAUAUAUGAAUUGUUGCAAGUGAAGUCUGAUAACUGUUACAGGGAUUGUAGUUUGCGUAUGUUGAUGCUACUGCAAUGGUUGAUUAAGGGUUAGAUGAAUAACAUGGAACUAGUGUUGAGAGGUUAUUGAUGAACUGUAAUUGAACUAGAAAGUAGUGUAAUGUGUGGGUUAUGGUGUUAGGUUGGAGGUUUAAUGAGAUUAAAAGAGGGAUGUUAUGUGAUUCCUGAAUUGAACAUUGUGGCUGAGAUGUAGGAUUUGGGUUGUGAGUAAUAUUUGCUUAUAAUGAAGAUUCAGAUGAUUAGAUUAGAAUCUAUGAAUAUUGAUAUGAAGUAGUCUCACUGAAGGCUUGCAGCUACUGCAAUUGCAGUUAGUUUUUUUAACGACGAUCGAUUCGAAGGAUGAACCAGUGGAUCGUGGAUCUCGAGGUAGGCGUGGCUUGUCGUUAAAAAAGUUUUUCAGUAAUCAGAAGAAUCGGUGCGCAUGAAGAUAUCCGUUUUGUAGCUUAAUGUUUGGGCGAAUCGAAGAUGUUUGUUUAUCGUUUAUAUUUGUAUUGUUUGUUAAUUUAUUAAACAACACAUUAUUGUAUUCUUAUCACUUGAGAGAUUUUCAUUUAUGUAAUAUCAGAGUGUUGGGUUAGUUUUGGGUUAAGUUUUGUAGCAGAUUUCUAAAUUGAAUGAUUAAGUUUAUGAUUU